rnacentral:rRNA from 1 species
GUUCGGUCCCUAUCUGCCGUGGGCGUUGGAUGAUUGAGGGGAGCUGCUCCUAGUACGAGAGGACCGGAGUGGACGAACCGCUGGUGUUCGGGUUGUGUCGCCAGACGCAUUGCCCGGUAGCUAAGUUCGGCACAGAUAAGCGCUGAAAGCAUCUAAGCGCGAAGCUGGCCCCGAGAUGAGUCAUCCCUAGAGCCUCGAGCUCUCUAAAGGGUUGUCGUAGACGACGACGUUGAUAGGCAGGGUGUGUAAGCGCUGUGAGGCGUUGAGCUAACCUGUACUAAUGGCCCGUGAGGCUUAACCAUACAACACCCAAG